rnacentral:rRNA from 1 species
UGCCUACGGGGGGCAGCAGUGGGGGAUAUUGCACAAUGGGGGGAACCCUGAUGCAGCGACGCCGCGUGGGUGAAGGAGCGUUUCGGCGCGUAAAGCCCUAUCGGCAGGGAAGAAGAUGACGGUACCUGACCAAGAAGCCCCGGCUAACUACGUGCCAGCAGCCGCGGUAAUACGUAGGGGGCAAGCGUUAUCCGGAUUUACUGGGUGUAAAGGGAGCGUAGACGGUUAUGCAAGUCUGAAGUGAAAGCCCAAGGCUCAACCAUGGGACUGCUUUGGAAACUGUAAAACUGGAGUGCAGGAU